AAGGUGUGACCCAACAUUUUACACUAAUAAAAUAUACUGUAUGAGAUAAUUUUUCCCAUAAAACUUAGUAUAUUUCCUAGAAUUGUGGGUUUAUUAACUUUUACUAGUAAUAAAAGAUCAAUUUAAUAUUGCUAAAAUAUCAAAGGUAAAUUAUGAUUAUGUUAUAAGAACCAAUUUUUAAUGAAUCUAAGGAGGAGGAGGAGGAUUAUUGGGAUAUUGAUUUGUCUAGAAUUAAGAACUUUAGAAGUUAAUAAAAUUUAAUGUUAUGUGAAUUCUGAAAAUAUGUAUAUUUAGAUUAGUAAAUGUUAUCAUAUAUUUUUUAUAAAUUACUACGGAUUUUCAUGGGUUUGUUUUAACUCCUUCAUUCCCUUUGCAAAGUAAAUAUAUGAUUUAUGUUUUACUAAGAAUUUCCAAAAUUUAAUUUCUUCCAAUAUAGUGUGCUUAUUGUUUUUUUUGUAUAAAUAUUUAUUUGUUUAUAAGAAGAUGAUCAUAUUAUUUUUUUUUUUUUGACAUCAAUAAAGAAAACAGACUCAUAUAGACUCUGUUAACCAAGAGGGUAGCUCUGCAUCCAUGUGAACGACGAACGACGCUUGAAUUCUUGCACUACGUGCUAGUUUGUCCGUCUGUGUGUUCUGCGUUCUUGGUACAUAGAUGAUCUCCGAGCUCUG
rnacentral:lncRNA from 1 species